GACGAACGCUGGCGGCGUGCUUAACACAUGCAAGUCGAACGGUGAAGCGCCUUCCUUUUUGGUGGGUGUGGAUGAGUGGCGAACGGGUGAGUAACACGUGAGUAACCUGCCCCCUUCUUCUGGAUAACCGCAUGAAAGUGUGGCUAAUACGGGAUAUUCUGGGUCUGUCGCAUGAUGGGUCUGGGAAAGAUAUUGUUUCGGUGGGGGAUGGGCUCGCGGCCUAUCAGCUUGUUGGUGGGGUGAUGGCCUAACAAGGCGGUGACGGGUAGCCGGCCUGAGAGGGUGACCGGGCAGAUUGGGACGGAGAUACGGGCAAGGGUGCUACGGGAGGCAGGAGUGGGGAAGAGUGGAGCAUGGGCGGAAGCAUGAUGCAGAGACGCGGCGUGCGGGAUGACGGCCGUGGGGUUGUAAAACGGUUUGGCCUGUGACGAAGCGUGAGGGAAGGGAAUGGGUAAAGAAGCACAGGAUAACGACGUG
rnacentral:rRNA from 1 species